CAGACAAACUCCGAAUGCCAAUUAAUUUAACUUGGGAGUCAGAACAUGGGUGAUAAGGUCCGUGUUCGAAAGGGAAACAGCCCAGACCACCAGCUAAGGUCCCAAAAUAUAUGUUAAGUGGAAAAGGAUGUGGCGUUGCCCAGACAACUAGGAUGUUGGCUUAGAAGCAGCCAUCAUUUAAAGAGUGCGUAAUAGCUCACUAGUCGAGUGACACUGCGCCGAAAAUGUACCGGGGCUAAACAUAUUACCGAAGCUGUGGAUUGUCCUUUGGACAAUGGUAGGAGAGCGUUCUAAGGGCGUUGAAGCAUGAUCGUAAGGACAUGUGGAGCGCUUAGAAGUGAGAAUGCCGGUGUGAGUAGCGAAAGACGGGUGAGAAUCCCGUCCACCGAUUGACUAAGGUUUCCAGAGGAAGGCUCGUCCGCUCUGGGUUAGUCGGGUCCUAAGCUGAGGCCGACAGGCGUAGGCGAUGGAUAACAGGUUGAUAUUCCUGUACCACCUAUAAUCGUUUUAAUCGAUGGGGGGACGCAGUAGGAUAGGCGAAGCGUGCGAUUGGAUUGCACGUCUAAGCAGUAAGGCUGAGUAUUAGGCAAAUCCGGUACUCGUUAAGGCUGAGCUGUGAUGGGGAGAAGACAUUGUGUCUUCGAGUCGUUGAUUUCACACUGCCGAGAAAAGCCUCUAGAUAGAAAAUAGGUGCCCGUACCGCAAACCGACACAGGUAGUCAAGAUGAGAAUUCUAAGGUGAGCGAGCGAACUCUCGUUAAGGAACUCGGCAAAAUGACCCCGUAACUUCGGGAGAAGGGGUGCUCUUUAGGGUUAACGCCCAGAAGAGCCGCAGUGAAUAGGCCCAAGCGACUGUUUAUCAAAAACACAGGUCUCUGCUAAACCGUAAGGUGAUGUAUAGGGGCUGACGCCUGCCCGGUGCUGGAAGGUUAAGAGGAGUGGUUAGCUUCUGCGAAGCUACGAAUCGAAGCCCCAGUAAACGGCGGCCGUAACUAUAACGGUCCUAAGGUAGCGAAAUUCCUUGUCGGGUAAGUUCCGACCCGCACGAAAGGCGUAACGAUUUGGGCACUGUCUCAACGAGAGACUCGGUGAAAUCAUAGUACCUGUGAAGAUGCAGGUUACCCGCGACAGGACGGAAAGACCCCGUGGAGCUUUACUGUAGCCUGAUAUUGAAAUUCGGCACAGCUUGUACAGGAUAGGUAGGAGCCUUUGAAACGUGAGCGCUAGCUUACGUGGAGGCGCUGGUGGGAUACUACCCUAGCUGUGUUGGCUUUCUAACCCGCACCACUUAUCGUGGUGGGAGACAGUGUCAGGCGGGCAGUUUGACUGGGGCGGUCGCCUCCUAAAAGGUAACGGAGGCGCUCAAAGGUUCCCUCAGAAUGGUUGGAAAUCAUUCAUAGAGUGUAAAGGCAUAAGGGAGCUUGACUGCGAGACCUACAAGUCGAGCAGGGUCGAAAGACGGACUUAGUGAUCCGGUGGUUCCGCAUGGAAGGGCCAUCGCUCAACGGAUAAAAGCUACCCCGGGGAUAACAGGCUUAUCUCCCCCAAGAGUUCACAUCGACGGGGAGGUUUGGCACCUCGAUGUCGGCUCAUCGCAUCCUGGGGCUGUAGUCGGUCCCAAGGGUUGGGCUGUUCGCCCAUUAAAGCGGUACGCGAGCUGGGUUCAGAACGUCGUGAGACAGU
rnacentral:rRNA from 1 species